ACUCAAAUGAAUUGACGGGGGCCCGCACAAGCGGUGGAGCAUGUGGUUUAAUUCGACGCAACGCGAAGAACCUUACCCAGACUUGACAUGCAUUCGACGCGUGUGGAAACACACGUUCCCUUCGGGGCGGAUGCACAGGUGCUGCAUGGCUGUCGUCAGCUCGUGUCGUGAGAUGUUGGGUUAAGUCCCGCAACGAGCGCAACCCUUGUCCUUAGUUGCUAACGGGUAAAGCCGAGCACUCUAGGGAGACUGCCGGUGAUAAACCGGAGGAAGGUGGGGAUGACGUCAAGUCCUCAUGGCCCUUACGUCUGGGGCUACACACGUGCUACAAUGGUCGGUACAGAGGGUUCCGAAACCGCGAGGUGGAGGCAAUCCCAAAAAACCGGUCUCAGUUCGGAUUGCAGUCUGCAACUCGACUGCAUGAAGUCGGAAUCGCUAGUAAUCGCUGAUCAGCAGGCAGCGGUGAAUACGUUCCCGGGCCUUGCACACACCGCCCGU
rnacentral:rRNA from 1 species